GACGAACGCUGGCGGCGUGCUUAACACAUGCAAGUCGAACGGAAAGGCCCUGCUUGCAGGGUACUCGAGUGGCGAACGGGUGAGUAACACGUGGGUGAUCUGCCCUGCACUUCGGGAUAAGCCUGGGAAACUGGGUCUAAUACCGGAUAGGAGCCAUUUUUAGUGUGAUGGUUGGAAAGUUUUUUCGGUGUAGGAUGAGCUCGCGGCCUAUCAGCUUGUUGGUGGGGUAAUGGCCUACCAAGGCGGCGACGGGUAGCCGGCCUGAGAGGGUGGACGGCCACAUUGGGACUGAGAUACGGCCCAGACUCCUACGGGAGGCAGCAGUGGGGAAUAUUGCACAAUGGGCGCAAGCCUGAUGCAGCGACGCCGCGUGGGGGAUGACGGCCUUCGGGUUGAAAACUCCUUUCGCUAGGGACGAAGCUUUUUGUGACGGUACCUAGAUAAGAAGCACCGGCUAACUACGUG
rnacentral:rRNA from 1 species